rnacentral:rRNA from 1 species
GAUUCGUCACACUAUCAUUAACUGAAUCCAUAGGUUAAUGAGGCGAACCGGGGGAACUGAAACAUCUAAGUACCCCGAGGAAAAGAAAUCAACCGAGAUUCCCCCAGUAGCGGCGAGCGAACGGGGAGGAGCCCAGAGCCUGAAUCAGCAUGUGUGUUAGUGGAAGCGUCUGGAAAGGCGCGCGAUACAGGGUGACAGCCCCGUACACAAAAGCGCAUGUGCUGUGAGCUCGAUGAGUAGGGCGGGACACGUGGUAUCCUGUCUGAAUAUGGGGGGACCAUCCUCCAAGGCUAAAUACUCCUGACUGACCGAUAGUGAACCAGUACCGUGAGGGAAAGGCGAAAAGAACCCCGGCGAGGGGAGUGAAAAAGAACCUGAAACCGUGUACGUACAAGCAGUGGGAGCACCCUUCGGGGUGUGACUGCGUACCUUUUGUAUAAUGGGUCAGCGACUUAUAUUCUGUAGCAAGGUUAACCGUAUAGGGGAGCCGGAGGGAAGCCGAGUCUUAAC